GCUGCCCGGUUCAAACCCGGCUCGCUCUGUUUCUGUUUGUUGAGGGCGUAGCCAAUGGGCGGCCUGCGUUGUUAGCGCGCGCCUUCCGGACCGUCGGUCUCGUAGUCGUUGCCUUCAACUUAAAGGUGUUGCUUGGCCGCCGCCUCGCAGUCCGGCGACUAGUUUCUUGCUCGGCCUCCUGGAGCUGUGGCCCGUGUGGAUUUCCACCUCAGACCUCUGCGCGAGCUCAGCGGGGCCGGAACAUGGCUGCCUCGGGUCUGAAUCAUCUCAAAAAUGACUACAGAAGAAGAUUUUGUCGACCUUCCAGGGCACGGGACAUUAACACAGAGCAAGGUCAGAAUGUUCUGGAAAUCUUACAAGACUGUUUUGAAGAAAAAAGUCUUGCCAAUGAUUUUAGUACAAAUUCUAUGAAAUCAGCGCUUUAUUCAACACCCAAAAUAAAAGACACUUGUAUUCAGUCACCAAGCAAAGAGAAAUCACAUCCAAAGUCAGUUCCAGUUUCUUCAAGGAAGAAAGAAGCAUCUCUGCAGUUUAUUGUAGAACCAAGUGAAGUCACCAGCAGAUCAGCUCAGGCCCAUGAAGUUCAUCAGAAAAUCCUGGCAACUGAUAUUAGUUCCAAAAAUACGUCUGAUUCGAAAAAAACGUCAAGUAGAAACAUAAAUGAUCAUCACAGUGAAGCUGAUGACGAAUUUUACUUAUCUGUUGGCUCACCUUCUGUUCUUUUGGAUGCAAAAACAUCUGUAUCGCAAAAUGUUAUUUCAUCUAGUGCCCAAAAGAGAGAGACUUACACUUUUGAAAAUUCAGUAAAUACGCUGCCUUCAAGUACAGAGAUUUCACUUAAAACCAAAAAAAGGUUAAACUUUGAAGAUAAAGUUAUUUUAAGGAAAAUAGAAAUAGAUAAUAAAGUAUCAGAUGAAGAGGAUAAAACAUCAGAAAGACAAGAAAGGCAACCAUUGGGAUCAUCUCAGAAUAAAAUGCAAGAUUCAGAAUAUGAAAUUCAACCACAAGCUAAAAGUUUUUCAACAUUGUUUUUAGAAACGAUAAAACGAAAAAGUGAAUACAGUCCCAUUGUUAGGCAUGCGACAACUGCUCUACCUCAUUCAUGCCCUCCAGAUGAUAAGGAGUUGAUAGAGGAUGAAUUUAUAAUUGAUGAGUCAGAUAAAAGUUUUGCCAGUAGAUCUUGGAUUACAAUACCAAGAAAGCCAAGGCCUCUGAAACAACGCAUAACAUCUCCGGCUGAGAGUACUACAGUCCUUCAAGGUAGAAAGUCAAGAGAAAAACAUCAUAAUAUGUCACCUAAGACUUUGACAAAUGACAAACAUUCCCAUAAAACUCACUCAGUAGAGACAUCUCAGCCCUCUGAUAAAACAGUACUGGAUACAAGUAAUGCUUUGACAGGUGAAAUAGUAAAUGAUUGUAGAUCUACAAAAUAUGAAAUGUAUUCUGAGAAUGCAAAAAAAUCAUCUGGAAGCAAAAGGACUAUAAAACAAAAACAGAGAAGAAAAUUUAAGGCUAAACUAGCUAAAGAACAGCUUGACAUGGGACAGUCUAAAGAUGAAAACAUGUAUACAUCACAUAUUACCCAAGACAAAUUUCAAAGAAAUUCAGACAGAAAUAUGGAAGAGUGUGAAGAGAUGGGAAAUGAUCGUGCUUCCAAAAAACAGAUGUCACCUUUGAGAAGCAAGAAAAGUAGCACUAGAAAAGAUAAGGAAGAAUCUAAAAAGAGGCACCUUUCCAGUGAGUCCAAGGACAAACUUAUACCUGAAGAAGUGACUUCAACUGUCAGGAGAAGUCGAAGAAUUUCCAGACGUCCGUCUAAUUGGUGGGUGGUAAAAUCAGAGGAGAGUCGUGUUUAUAGCAAUUCUUCAAUAAGAAAUGAAUUAACAGUGCAUCAUGACAGUAGGCAAAAAUCUGCUAAGAAAACGAAUAAGUCAUCUAAGAAUAUUAGAAAAAAUACUACUCCACUUAAAAGGCAGAAGACAGCAACUAAAGGCAGCCCAAGAGUACAGAAGGUUUUAAAUGCUAAAUGUUCUGGAGGUAUUGUUGAUCAUGAUGAAAUUCCCAGUUGUUCGCAGAGUGAGCCAUUGGAAACUGGUGAGGCAGACUUGGCUAAGAAGAAAAAUCUUGAUUGUUCUAGAUCUACAGGAAGCUCAAAGAAUCAAGGUGAUAUUAUGACUGUACAGAAUGUUCCUCUAAAGCCUCAGACAUAUGGAUAUACAUGUAAGACACCAACAGAGUCAAACUUGGAUUCUGAAGAGCAUAAGACUUCAAUUUUAGAGGAAAGUGGACCUUCCACGCUCAAGAAUUAUUUAAUGUCUGCAAAGAAGAAUAAUGGUGUAGAUGAUGAGAAAGUUCAUGGAAGUUUAGGUGACUCAAGAGUAAAACGAUCUAAAGUGAUACCAAAGAACAGAAUCCAUCACAAAUUAGUAUUGCCCUCCAACACACCAAAUGUUCGCAGGACCAAGAGAAUACGUUUGAAACCUUUGGAGUACUGGCGAGGGGAGCGAAUAGAUUAUCAAGGAAGGCCAUCAGGAGGAUUUGUGGUUAGUGGAAUACUCUCUCCAGACACAGUACCAUCUAAAAGGAAGGCAAAAGAAAACAUUGGAAAAGUCGGCAAAAGAGCUAAUAAGAAAAGGAUCUGUCUUGAUAACGAUGAAAGAAGUAUGAACUUAUUUAUGAAAGUAACUUUUAGAUUUUAUUUUAAAUAGGAUUACUUUGAGAAGAAGCUCUUUGCAAAAUAUGAAAUUUACUUCCAAAAACUUCAGAAAUAAUACUAUAGAGACUAGCUUAAUGGUAAAUCUAGAUAUACCUCUUGGAGAUCCUUUGCAGCCAACGAGGGUAAAGGACCCAGAAACAAGAGAGAUUAUUCUCCUGGAUCUUAUAAGGCCACAAGAUACAUAUCAAUUUUUUGUUAAGCAUGGUGAGUUGAAGGUAUAUAAGACAUUGGAUACACCUUUUUUUUCUACUGGGAAAUUGAUAUUAGGACCACAAGAAGAAAAGGGAAAGCAGCAUGUUGGCCAGGAUAUAUUGGUUUUUUAUGUUAACUUUGGAGACCUUUUGUGUACUUUACACGAAACACCUUAUAUAAUAAGUACUGGGGAUUCAUUCUAUGUUCCUUCAGGUAACUAUUAUAACAUCAAAAAUCUCCUGAAUGAGGAAAGCGUUCUUCUUUUUACUCAGAUAAAAAGAUGAAAGAUAAACCAAGCUUAAAUGUAUGUGUGUAUAUAUGUAUAUGUAAAAACAGUUUGUAUAGUUGAGAAAUUUAUCUUUGUAAUCACAUAAUGUUUUAAAAUAAACAUUUUAUUCAUUUUUCUGUAGACUUGUAUUUCAUAAACAUUUCUAACUCCCGUAUGUUUUCUUCAGCUUUUCUGUGACUAUACAUAAUAGUUUGUAGCAAUGCCCAUAUUUAUGAUACUGCUUUUAUAAUAUGACAAGAAUAUGAAAAUUAAAUAUAGGGCAUUUCUUUAUCAAAAGAGACCUGAUUAAUUAUUCAUUAAAAAACAUCUUUUCCAAAUACUAAUUUUAAAUAAUUGAUUAGUAAAUAGUCCAAUGGGAGAGAACUAUGUUAGGUGGCAUAUUUGUAUUAAUUUCCUAGAACUGCUUAACAAAAUACUAUACAAACUGAAUGACUUAAAGCAACAGAAGUUUAUUAUCUCACUUCUAGAAGCUAGAAGUCUGAAAUCAAGGUGUUGUCAGGACCAUGAUGUCUUUGAAAAACUGUAAGGGAGAGAAUCCUUCCUUAUUCCUAACUUCUGAUGGUUUACUGGCAAUUUCUGGCAUUCCUUGGCUUGCAAAUGUAGCAUUUCAGGCUACUUCUAUUAUCACAUGGUAUUCUAGUCUAUGUGUCUGUGUUCACAUGAUAUCUAUUUAUUAUAUUACAUAUAAACGUUUUUUCCAUCAUGUUUCGGUUCAUAUUUUCUGUUGGAGGCAGUGUCCUUUGCCAUUGCUUUCUGUGUGUGAACUCAACUUUGCUUUUUAAUAUCAAAUAAAUAUAAGCCACAAAGUCUAA